rnacentral:lncRNA from 1 species
GGAGGUUAUGGCUACCAGCAACCAGUUUCCUACAACUAUCAGCAAGGACCGGUUUAUCCUCCUUAUGGGUGAGUGGGAUGUUGUUGUACAUUAUUAUUGCAAACAUUUUUAAGACAUUAGUUUUUGAGAAUAAAGUAUCUCCUGGAAUGAGGAGAGAAGUUGUCUCCUCCAAUCACUAAAAUUAUUACAUGUGUCCUAUUUUACCACUUUCUAUAAAAAUAUUUCUAAAAACUAAAAAAAUAGGACCAUGUCCUAAUUUUACUGGGUAUAUGAGACAACGUACCUCCUGGUAUGAGGAGACUCUUUAUUUUCAAUUUGCUAAUCGUUAUGUUCUUGCUUUUUCUUUAUAUUUGUACAUGUUACGUCAAUGAUUAUCUCUAUGGACUUGUUAUUACUUUAUCAGUCAUUAAUUCAUGGCAUUGAUGUUGACUGCUAAACGAUGGUGGUGAUCACUUUGGUCAGCUAGGCAAUAUUCUUGCAACGACUAGGUUAAAGUCCUAUCAACUUUUUGCUUUAUUUGUGUGGCUAGCACACAUAUCAACCUCAGCAUGAAGCAUCCUUGUGUAGUAGUUAAUCAUUUGGAAACAUGGAUGUUGAAAAAUGUGUCAGUAGAUUUAAUAAACUAAUAAUUAUUUGCUAUAUUUAUAUCCACAUGUGGGAGGGGUUCCUGACUACAUUUGCAUUAGGAUGUAUUCAACAUUAAAUGUCGUUGUUUUAUCUUUGCAGGUAUACGGCAUAUGGACCUGAGUACAUUUACCCACAGAACGUGUACAACCCUUACAUGGGCCAACAUUACCUUCAGAUAUAUGGAGUGCCUGGGGCAGUGAACACAACGGUGUAUCCUUAUGGACAACUGGGUCAGGCUAUUCCUAGCGAUCAUGGUUAUACAGCAAUGCAGGGCUACACAAUACCUGGUCAUCAGAUAGUGCCCUAUGGUGGGUCGAAUGUUAAUGCCAUAACAGCUUCACUCGUGCCUGCCAUCCAAGCACCAUACCCUAGUGGAAUUGCUGCACCAGUUCCAGGCCAACCACAAUUUGUUGUUCCUGCUCCUUCGCAGUUUAUGCAAGGCAGCGGUCCUGACCAAACAGCCGGGUGAGGAGGCAGAUAAGGUGGGCUAUUCACCUAGCAUCUUCCUCCAUUUCUUUAUUUCCAGUAUAAACUUUUGUUUCGAAAGUAUUCUAUCGCAGGUAUCCUUAGUUUGCAGCAGGAUUAAGAGCAGUGAGACAGCUACUUGAGUGUCGGGCUUCUCCAAUCUAGCUUUACAAGUUACUUAUUUUGCAUUCUAUAGGUCAUAUGUAAUCAUGCUCACCAAGUUGUGUCUGAGUCGCACCAGAUGGCAAGAGAAACUGGAACGUGGGGGCUGCUUGCCAAUUGGAUGUUUACACUAGUGUAUUUAAUUUAUACCUAAUACUACCACUACUCGCGAAGAGUGGCCAUAGUAUUUGGAUCAAUGGAUGCUGGAAUAGGUUUCUGGCAGCCAUAUAGAAAUAAACUUGUGUAAAAAAUGAAAGUCGUGUCUGAAUCAAAAUAUGAUUCUUUGGAGUCAUGUCCAGCAGCAUUGAGUUUGUAGAUAGUCCGGUCAAUGUUGUUACAUUUUGUAAAGAUGGAUGGUCCAUCACAUUGAAUGUGAUUUUUGUGCAUAGUAUAAGAUUCAAUUUAGAAUUUUCAUCCUAAAGACUAAUUGACUCAACUUGAUAUGUAUAAGAUUCAAUUUAGAAUUUUCAUCCUAAAGACUAAUUGACUCAACUUGAUAUGUAUAAGAUUCAAUUUAGAAUUU